rnacentral:rRNA from 1 species
CCUACGGGUGGCAGCAGUGGGGAAUAUUGGACAAUGGGCGAAAGCCUGAUCCAGCCAUGCCGCGUGUGUGAAGAAGGCCUUCGGGUUGUAAAGCACUUUCGGUGGGGAAGAAAGCCUUGGGGCUAAUACCCUCGAGGAAGGACAUCACCCACAGAAGAAGCACCGGCUAACUCCGUGCCAGCAGCCGCGGUAAUACGGAGGGUGCGAGCGUUAAUCGGAAUUACUGGGCGUAAAGCGCGCGUAGGCGGUCUGAUAAGCCGGUUGUGAAAGCCCCGGGCUCAACCUGGGAACGGCAUCCGGAACUGUCAGGCUAGAGUGCAGGAGAGGAAGGUAGAAUUCCCGGUGUAGCGGUGAAAUGCGUAGAGAUCGGGAGGAAUACCAGUGGCGAAGGCGGCCUUCUGGACUGACACUGACGCUGAGGUGCGAAAGCGUGGGUAGCAAACAGGAUUAGAUACCCUUGUAGUC